GCGUUGGGGGGAGGUAACCUGGGAAGACCUAUAUCUGUUUUCUGCACCGCUAUUUUUUUCCGAGAAGCACUUAACUUCUUACCGUGUCGUAGCUAUCCCUGGAAUGAGGCGCUUACACAUUUUAUUUCUUUCAUGCCUGACAUAAAGUCUGGCCCUUGCUCGCUCCUGCCCCCCGUCCAAAUGGCUCGGCCCGCGGAACGCCCCAUCUUCCAGGCACAUUGAGAGCCGGAGUCUUGGAGGAGUUUAGGGUGGUGAUUCUACAACGGCGACUAGCAAGUGGCGGGCUUCAGCCCUUUCCCGCUGCUCUCCUGGUCGCGACCACACGUCACAGCUCUCGCUCGUUCCGGUUGCUCGCGCACGGGCCCCAGAAGCGCAGGCGAGAUCGGAGCGCGCAAAGAGAACUUGGUACGGUCCACUCCGCCGCGCCCCGCGCCGCCGGAAGUGAGGUGUCUUACCCCCGAAGUUCCGGUUCGCAGGGGGUGGGGAGUGUUGUUAACCGGAGCGGCUGCCGCAGUCGCGGUGAUUGAGCGUGCUCGCGGCGCUGGGCUCCUGGUCUCUGGGCCAGGGCGAUGUUCCGCACCGCAGUGAUGAUGGCGGCCAGCCUGGCGCUAACCGGGGCAGUGGUGGCUCAUGCCUACUACCUCAAACACCAGUUCUACCCCACUGUAGUGUAUUUGACCAAGUCCAGCCCCAGCAUGGCAGUCCUGUACAUCCAGGCCUUUGUCCUUGUCUUCCUCUUGGGCAAGGUGAUGGGCAAGGUGUUCUUCGGGCAGCUGAGGGCAGCAGAGAUGGAGCACCUUCUGGAACGGUCCUGGUACGCUGUUACUGAGACUUGUUUGGCCUUCACCGUUUUUCGGGAUGACUUCAGCCCUCGCUUUGUGGCGCUCUUUACGCUGCUCCUCUUCCUCAAAUGUUUCCAUUGGUUGGCUGAAGACCGUGUGGACUUUAUGGAACGCAGCCCCAACAUCUCCUGGCUCUUCCACUGCCGCAUCGUCUCUCUCAUGUUUCUCCUGGGUAUCCUGGACUUCCUCUUCGUCAGCCACGCUUAUCACAGCAUCCUGACCCGUGGGGCUUCUGUGCAGCUGGUAUUUGGCUUUGAGUACGCCAUUCUGAUGACCAUGGUGCUUACCAUCUUCAUCAAGUAUGUGCUGCACUCCGUGGACCUCCAGAGCGAGAACCCCUGGGACAACAAGGCUGUAUACAUGCUCUACACGGAGCUGUUUACAGGCUUCAUCAAGGUCCUGCUGUACAUGGCCUUCAUGACCAUCAUGAUCAAGGUGCACACAUUCCCACUCUUUGCCAUUAGGCCCAUGUACCUGGCCAUGAGGCAGUUCAAGAAAGCUGUGACAGAUGCCAUCAUGUCUCGCCGAGCCAUCCGCAACAUGAACACACUGUACCCAGAUGCCACCCCCGAGGAGCUCCAGGCAAUGGAUAAUGUCUGCAUCAUCUGCAGAGAAGAAAUGGUGACUGGUGCUAAGAGAUUGCCUUGCAACCACAUCUUUCACACGAGCUGCCUGCGCUCCUGGUUCCAGAGACAGCAGACCUGCCCGACAUGCCGCAUGGAUGUCCUGCGGGCAUCGUUGCCAGCCCAGUCACCACCACCUCCUGAGCCUGCUGACCAAGGACCACCCCCCGCCCCUCAUCCCCAACCGCUGCUGCCACAGCCCCCUAAUUGUAAGUGGCCCUUCAUUUGCCCACAGAGGACCUUCUUUGUCCUCAGGUACUUGCCCUCGGCUGGGUACCGACAGUGCUGGGGAAUCCCCGAGAAGCUCAUUCUGGGUAGGAAGGGGUGAGAAGAUGAGAAAUAGACAAAUGAUGAGUGUCCCCCAGGGCCUCCUGCCUCCUUUUCCUCCAGGCAUGUUCCCACUGUGGCCCCCAAUGGGUCCCUUUCCACCUGUCCCGCCUCCCCCAAGCUCAGGAGAGGCUGCGGCCCCUCCACCCACCAGUACAGCCGUUUCUCGGCCUAGUGGAGCAGCCACCACCACAGCUGCUGGCACCAGUACUUCUGCCCCAGCACCUGGGUCUGUACCUGGCCCAGAGGCUGGUCCUGCCCCCGGCUUCCCUUUCCCUCCUCCUUGGAUGGGUAUGCCUCUGCCUCCACCUUUUGCCUUCCCCCCAAUGCCUGUGCCCCCUGCGGGCUUUGCUGGCCUAACCCCAGAGGAGCUGCGAGCACUAGAGGGCCAUGAGCGGCAGCACCUGGAGGCCCGGCUGCAGAGUCUGCGCAACAUACACACACUACUGGAUGCUGCCAUGCUUCAAAUCAACCAGUACCUCACUGUGCUGGCUUCCCUGGGGCCCCCCAGGCCAGCUACUUCAGUGAACCCCACUGAAGAGACUGCCUCUACAGUGGUAUCUGCUGCCCCUUCCACCAGCGCCCCCAGCUCUGAGGCUCCUACCCCGUCUCCGGGAGCUUCCCCACCAAUUCCUGAAGCAGAAAAGCCUCCUGCUCCUGAGUCAGUGGGCAUUGUAGAGGAGCUUCCCGAGGAUGGAGAGCCUGAUGCUGCAGAACUCCGCCGGCGUCGCCUGCAGAAGCUGGAGUCCCCUGUUGCCCACUGACACUGCCCAGACCUGGCCCUGUUCUCUUGAGUGGCCCUCACUGGAACACGUCCUGCCAUCAAGUGCCAGCUCCCUCUCUGCUUGCACCAGGGAGUAAUAGCCCCAGUUGAGAAAGACUUGGCAGGAUCUCUGAGGAUCAAGGAGAAGUGUCUGGGCUUCCAGUCGAUCCAUCCCCAGUGCCCCUGGCAGCCAUGGAGAUACUGGUCAGCUCUAACCUCCCUCCACUUCUGCCAUGUUCAACUGGGGCCUUCAAAGUAGAAGCUGAAUCUCUGGUAAGCCUUCUCUUCCAUGCUUUCUGGGAGAAGGUGAAGCCCCUCCAAGCCCUGCUUGUGAGUAUGGGACCAUGCUGCAGUGCCGAACAGUAUUAGCUUCUGUUCCCAACUGUGGAAACCCAGAGGGGCUGAAGACAGACCAGGACCUUGCCCCACCCUCCUGCCAAGACUGGUACCAGUCUCUUUCCUCUAGCCCAGUCUUCCCAGAACCCCUUUGUGAUGGUGGCUGUGCCCCCCGAAGCCCUGUGGCAUUUCCAUGUCUUACUGGCAACCACACAACUCAGGGAAAGGAGUGCCUGGGGGUGGGGCACAGGCGGGCAGCACCGAGGGACCCUGCCCUGCCCCUCCCCAGCUCUUUCCCCAUAUCACCCAGCAGCCACUGCCUGGUGGGCCUGGCUAAGGGUGUGUGCUGCUCCUUAAACCACUGCUCCCCAGAACCCAAGGCAGGCCACCUCCAACCUGUGGGAUGUCGUCAGGAUUGGAACUAUUCUGUACCUACUGGCUUUGGGCUUAAAUUUUGUCUUCUGAAUUUGAAUGCUUGACCCCAGGAAGGAGGAGCAGGUGUGGGGCUAGGUACCUGGACUUCGCAGUUUAGAACAAGCUCUGGGCCGGGCCGGGCCAGGCCAGGCCUAGGGAGCCAAGGCCUAGCUGCUGCUUCCUUCUUUUGGUUUUGUGUUACAGGAGUUUCUGGAGAGUUUCAGAUGAUUAUUUAAUUUGUAAAUAUUGUAUAAAUUUUAAUAGCUUAAAUUGUAUAUACAGCUCAAUAAAAACUUGCAUUAAUGAUUGG